UAUGUAUAUAUAUAUAUAUGUGAAAUAUUUUAUUGUGAGAUUAUGUGUCAAUUAUGGCGCUGCUCUGUUUGAACAUUCAUAUGGAUAUAUGUGCCUACGUAUGCGUACAUGCGGAUGCUUGUAUGUUCGUUUGGACAGAGGCAUUGUAAAGUUGACUUGGCCAACAUGUAUCCAUACGUGAUCGCCACUGUAUAUAAAACAAAUCCGGCUUGAAGGACCAAAUGUUGAAGUGAUGGCGUCGCCGAUAAGUAAAAAGACCGGGUUGUAGUUUCCUCGUCUUUAUUUGUAGGAUGGUAGCUGUUCAGCUCGUAUAAAAGUGUGUAACAUAUAUGCCAGAAGAGGCAAGCGCCUAGUGCUGGGGAGACGAAGUCCUCAGCGGAGCGCUAAGUAACAGAGUGCUGUUAAUAACAUAACAUUGUGUGGUGCGGGAGGAGCAAUUCUUGUUAA
rnacentral:sRNA from 1 species